UUUUUCCUAGCCUAGCCUCCCUUAUAAACCACCUGUACCCAAGCCCUUAUUUUAAGCUGUGCUUUCAAGGGAACUCAAACCAAGACAUUAAGCUAGAUUUGUUCAUGUGUGGAUGUGAUGGAACUGAAGUCGCUAGGUUCAUGCUACCUGGAACAUGAGACUGACAAAUAGAGGAGCACUGAGUCAAAUGAAUCUCGGAGAAAUGGAGCUGGAAGAAAACUGGAGUAAGCCUGUCCCUGAAAGGGCACUACAUUUGGAUAUCCAGCAGUGGGACUCAAUAUUUUUUCUUGUUGUUUAAUCUCAUUUCUGUUACUUGCAGCCAAAGGCUCUUAAUGAGAAAAUGGCUCUACCUAGUUUUCUGAAAUUGCCUCAGUCUCUCCACUCUUCCCUAUUACAAAGGUCAUCUCUUUAAUUCACAUCCAAUAACUGAUAGUCUCUUGACUAAUCUACAUCCUCUCAUUCUCUCCUAAUUCACCUUUCAUACUGUUGCCAGGUGACUUUUCCUAAAAGACAACUUUCAUGAUGUCACUCUACUUCAUAAAUUCUUAUAAUGGUUUCUUUUUGCUUUUAGUCCAAACUCCUCAGGUUCGUUUUCAAGGCUUUUCAUAAUUGAAUUUCUUUUAUAUACCUAAGAUGAUUUCUCUGUGUUCCCAAAUGUACAAUUGACAGUCCUUCCUCCUGAUGUUCUCUCCAGUAGGAAAUGUUUGCUCUAUGUAAAUUCAGUAUAGCUUUUAGUCUCUAUUCAAGUUCUACCUUCUUCAUAAACUUCUCCUGAAUAGAAUCAGCCUAUAACCAUUUAAACUGUCUUUAUUAGGUGCACACUAUGUGCCAGGUACUCAACAAGGCAGUGGAACUAUGAAGACAGAUAAUCACAGUCCCUCUUGCCUCUGGGAGCAGGCAGUUGAAUGCAAUGCUUUUUAAAGUUUUAAGUAACGUGGUCAUGCAAAAUCUUAUAGAUAUACAUUUGAAUGUACAGAGUUUAAUUACCAAGCUAGUGAG
rnacentral:lncRNA from 10 species